AACAAGUACCGUGAGGGAAAGAUGAAAAGCACUUUGGAAAGAGAGUUAAACAGUACGUGAAAUUGUUGAAAGGGAAACGAUUGAAGUCAGUCAUGCUCGUAGGGAUUCAACCGGUUCUGCCGGCCUAUUUCCCUACUUGCAGGCCAGCAUCAGUUUUGACCGGUGGAAAAGGUUGGAGGGAAUGUGGCAUCCUCGGAUGUGUUAUAGCCCUCUUUCGCAUACAUCGGUUGGGACUGAGGAACGCAGCACGCCUUUAUGGUCGGUCUUCGGACACGUACGUGCUUAGGAUGCUGGCAUAAUGGCUUUAAACGACCCGUCUUGUAACACGGACCAAGGAGUCUAACAUGUUUGCGAGUAUUUGGGUGUCAAACCCGAGUGCGCAAUGAAAGUGAAUGCAGGUGGGAUCCGCAAGGAGCACCAUCGACCGAUCUGGAUCUUUUGUGAUGGAUUUGAGUAAGAGCACAUAUGUUGGGACCCGAAAGAUGGUGAACUAU
rnacentral:rRNA from 1 species